rnacentral:rRNA from 1 species
UACGUAGGGGGCAAGCGUUGUCCGGAUUUAUUGGGCGUAAAGAGCGUGUAGGCGGCCUUACAGGUCAGCUGUGAAAACUCGAGGCUCAACCUCGAGACGUCGGUUGAAACCGUAUGGCUAGAGUCCGGAAGAGGAGAGUGGAAUUCCCGGUGUAGCGGUGAAAUGCGCAGAUAUCGGGAGGAACACCGGUGGCGAAGGCGGUGGUCUGGGCCGGAACUGACGCUGAGGAGCGAAAGCAUGGGGAGCAAACAGG